GACAAGACACAUCUGGAGCAGUUACCUAGACAAGCACCAAGUAUUAGAAGCCUUAGUGUUUCAAUUUGCCAUCAACUUGCUCUGCAAGCCCAGACCAAACCCUGAGCUUCCCUCUGGCUUUCUCUUUGGUUAAACAAGAAGCCUUUAUCUUCAUCUCUCCAUCAGAACCAGUGGCCUGCUCCUCUCUCCCUUCUCUGCUUUCAUUGUCCACCAACACUGAAGUCAUAAAUGACUAGAGGGAGCUGGAGUGUGAGGGUCCAGAAACUUGUAUGAUCCAGAAUGCCAUGUCAUACAUCCAAUAAAAUUCAACUCUGCAAGCAUGAGAGAGAAGAGGAAGGAAAAGAGAGAAUCUGAAGUAGUUGGAUCACUAGAGGGCAAUAUCGGCCAAGAGAAAGAAGAAUUCUUCACCACCGUUUCUAGGACUGGUGAAGGUGCUGUGCUGGAGAGAGCAUGUGGAGAGACACCACAGAGAGUGAUGUCCAAGGAUCCUCUGCUGUUCUAGCCUCCAGAUGUUUGGUACCAAAUGGAGAGUGAGUGAGGCUUCCAACCCCACCUUUGAGCCACCCCAGCUGAUCCCAGUAGAGCAGAGAUGAGCUGUCCCCACCAAGUCUUGCCCAGAUUGCAGAUCUGUGAACAAAUAAGAAUUUUUGCUUGA
rnacentral:lncRNA from 1 species